GUUUGCUUUAAAAAAAAAUUGCUGGGAAAAUUUUCUUUGGUCGAGUCGAACUAAUUGGGAUAAUAUCUGAACCCAAACCACACGCACCACCUGCAUCUAAGGAUCGAGCUUCCAUCCUAGUAGUCCAACAUCUAUCAUGUAUCUCUUCUCUUCCACAAUUCAGCUCAACGCGAGUUUCCUUCGCGUUGGUAGCGGUACUCGUAUCCACGUUACUCUUCCCUCCCAUGUCCAAAGAAUGGAACAAACUUUUCUCAUCCACGUUGGAUCCCAGCCGACCACACCCAUUCACAUUUCCCAGCCAUUUACACAUCAUCCCACACGGCCGUCCACAUCCAAGGAACAGAGCCAGCAUCCAAGCCAAUCUCAUCCGCAUCCAAAGCCCUUCCAAGUCAUUCUUUUCCCCUAUUUCAGAAUGGAGCCACAUGAUCCUCCGCGUGAUCAUCUCCCUCCACGCCAGCCCGGAUUAGCUCCAAUUCCAGCGGUCUGCAAGGUGUCCACAAGUCCUCUCAGCCCCGCUCGUGAUCCUUCCGCAUCCAAAGCAUCUCCCAAGUAUUCUUCGACUUCAUCCUCCCAGCAUCCUUAUCUUCUCUCGCAUCCGUUUCUCCCAAACAACUGGAUUUUCUUCCGCCGAAUUCCCAUCUAUUGUCCUCCUCCCCUUCGUCCACAUCAAAAGGAAUCCCUCAACCAGCUGAGAUCCUCCCAGUUUGCAUCCUUAUCUCUUGCUUCGGAUAAGUCCCAAACUUCAUCCUCAUCCCCUGUGUCCAGCUAACAAAGCACUCCUCGUUUCUUCCUCCCGUUCGAAAUUGACUCCAUCCACGGAUGAGUUCACCUCCCCUGUUCCGCUUAUCCCUUCCCUCCGGAUGAGAACCAGCAACCAUACAACAUAUGGAUUAGCUCCAUCUCCCAAACAUCCAUAGCCAAUCUCGUUCACAAAUCAAGCUCCUUCAUUCUGUUUUCCUCCCAGCAUCUGCAACAAUCCGGUCUUCAUCUCAGCCGUGAACAGCAUCCCAGCAAAUUUUGGAAUCCCAGCUGCCAGCCGAGUCCCAAACGUCCCAGCCAUCUUUCGGCUUGAUCCCAACAUCCAAGAUUUUCUUCCGGAUUCUUCCCAGAUCUAUCCACAUACGUGUUUUCGCUUCCUCUCCGCGAUCAGCUCUUAUCUCAAGACUUCACAGGCAUCCCGAGCUUCACGAUUCGCUAUCCUUCUCCGAAUCAAGCCAAACUCCAUCCUCCCCUGUUUUGUAACAGGGUCCCAACUCAUCUUCACAAAGUCUAGAAACCAACAGCCGUCCGAGAUCCUCUCCAUUGAUUCUCCCACAGGAUAAGCUCGAAUCCUCUGCACAACAAUCCAGCAGCAUCGGAUUCCUCUGCUUCGGAACAGAUUGCUAACACUAUCUCUGGUUUAUCUUCAUCUCGUGGCCAGCCAAAUCCUGAGCUUCACAGGUCGUUCUCCCAUCUGGAUCAACUCCAAGGAGCAGCAUCUAUCCACCAUCCGCGGAAGAGAUAAAGCCUCCACAGCAUUAUCCACCCAUUCGGAAUAGCCACAAGGAAGAGAGAGAGGAAGAUGGGCUGCCUAUAUAAAGGGAAGACUUUGAUCAGAUUGGACAAUUCCUUCCCCACCGGGGGGCUUCUCCAAUUCUUCUUCCCCACCGGGGGACCAUCGCAUCAUCAUCUCCUUCAUCCUCUCAUGCUUCACCAGUCCUUCUUCACCACCGGGGGUUGCUCCCAUCAAGCUUGGCUGUUCUCAUGUUGAGUUCCCACCAAAGAACCAAGUGAGAGAAAAGUUUGGGUACUUUGGGAAUAUUUCAAA